rnacentral:rRNA from 1 species
AAUACCAGCACCCCGAGUGGUCGGGACGUUUAUUGGGCCUAAAGCAUCCGUAGCCGGUUCUGCAAGUCUUCCGUUAAAUCCACCUGCUUAACAGAUGGGCCGCGGAAGAUACUAUAAGGCUAGGAGGCGGGAGAGGCAAGCGGUACUCAGUGGGUAGGGGUAAAAUCCUCUGAUCCAUUGAAGACCACCAGUGGCGAAGGCGGCUUGCCAGAACGCGCUCGACGGUGAGGGAUGAAAGCUGGGGGAGCAAACC